rnacentral:rRNA from 1 species
UACGUAGGGCGCGAGCGUUGUCCGGAAUUAUUGGGCGUAAAGAGCUCGUAGGCGGUUUGUCGCGUCUGCUGUGAAAGACCGGGGCUCAACUCCGGUUCUGCAGUGGGUACGGGCAGACUAGAGUGCAGUAGGGGAGACUGGAAUUCCUGGUGUAGCGGUGAAAUGCGCAGAUAUCAGGAGGAACACCGAUGGCGAAGGCAGGUCUCUGGGCUGUAACUGACGCUGAGGAGCGAAAGCAUGGGGAGCGAACAGA